CGUGGGUAACCUUCCUCAGAGACUGGAAUAACAUUCCGAAAGGAGUGCUAAUACCAGAUAAGACCACAGGGGCUUCGGCUCCAGAGGUCAACAGGUGCUUCAAAGGUAUCGCUCUAGGAUGGGCCCGCGGCGCAUUAGCUAGUUGGUAGGGUAAUGGCCUACCAAGGCAAUGAUGCGUAGCUGGUCUGAGAGGACGAUCAGCCACACUGGAACUGAGACACGGUCCAGACUCCUACGGGAGGCAGCAGUGGGGAAUAUUGGGCAAUGGGGGAAACCCUGACCCAGCAACGCCGCGUGAGUGAUGAAGGCCUUCGGGUCGUAAAGCUCUGUUGGGGGUACGAAAACGCUGCACUAACUAUGCAGUCUGAUCAGCCCCUGAGGAAGCACCGGCUAACUCUGUGCCAGCAGCCGCGGUAAUACAGAGGGUGCAAGCAUUGUUCGGAAUUAUUGGGCGUAAAGGGCGUGUAGGCGGUUCGAUAAGUCAGGUGUGAAAUCCCUGGGCUCAACCCAGGAACUGCAUUUGAUACUGUUGGACUUGAGUAUGGUAGAGGAUAGUGGAAUUCCCGGUGUAGAGGUGAAAUUCGUAGAGAUUGGGAGGAACACCAGUGGCGAAAGCGGCUAUCUGGGCCAUUACUGACGCUAAGACGCGAGAGCGUGGGGAGCAAACAGGAUUAGAUACCCUGGUAGUCC
rnacentral:rRNA from 1 species